AGUGAACGCUGGCGGCGUGCCUAAUACAUGCAAGUCGAACGGAGAUUAAGUAGCUUGCUAUUUAAUCUUAGUGGCGCACGGGUGAGUAAUAUAUAGCUAACUUGCCCAUUACUAAGGGACAACAGUUGGAAACGACUGCUAAUACCUUAUACUCCGUAUCUAUAUAAGUAGAUACGGGAAAGUUUUUCGGUAAUGGAUAGGGCUAUAUCGUAUCAGCUAGUUGGUAAGGUAAUGGCUUACCAAGGCUAUGACGCGUAACUGGUCUGAGAGGAUGAUCAGUCACCCUGGAACUGAGACCCGGUCCAGACUCCUACGGGAGGCAGCAGUAGGGAAUAUUGCUCAAUGGGGGAAACCCUGAAGCAGCAACCCCGCGUGGGGGAUGACACUUUUCGGGGCGUAAACUCCUUUUCUUGGGAAAGAAUUUUGCCGGUACCCAAGGAAUAAGCCCCGGCUAACUCCUU
rnacentral:rRNA from 1 species